rnacentral:tRNA from 1 species
GGGAGCGUCCGGAUGCCUGGUGGAUCCCUCGGUCUUCAAAACCGCUGAAGCGCUGCACAAACAGCGCUUGGUGGGUUCGAUUCCCAUCCGCUCCCG